CUUCGCGUGAGUGUACCUCUGUGCUGACCGUACCGUAAACCGACACAGGUGGGUGGGGAGAACAUCCCAAGGCGCUUGAGAGAACUCGGGUUAAGGAACUCGCAAAUUGACACCGUAACUUCGGGAGAAGGUGUGCCCUUGAGGGUGAUCGGCUUCGCGCCGCGAGCCUUUGGGGGUUGCAGAGAAUCGGGGGUAGCGACUGUUUAUCAAAAACACAGGACUCUGCGAAGUCGCAAGACGACGUAUAGGGUCUGACGCCUGCCCGGUGCUGGAAGGUUAACAGGAGAUGUCAGGGCAACCGAAGCAUCGAAUCGAAGCCCCAGUAAACGGCGGCCGUAACUAUAACGGUCCUAAGGUAGCGAAAUUCCUUGGCGGGUAAGUUCCGUCCUGCACGAAUGGCGUAACGACUUCCCCACUGUCUCGACCCGGGACUCAGCGAAAUUGAAAUCGGGGUGAAGAUGCCCCGUACCCGCGGAAAGACGGAAAGACCCCGUGAACCUUUACUGCAGCUUGGCACUGGUUUUCGGAUUUGUCUGUGUAGGAUAGGUGGGAGGCUGUGAAGUGGGGCCGCUAGGUUCCACGGAGCCAACGUUGAAAUACCACCCUGACAAAUCUGAAAGCCUAACCGUGACCCGUAAGCCGGGUCCGGAACACUGCCUGGUGGGUAGUUUGACUGGGGCGGUCACCUCCGAAAAAGUAACGGAGGCGCGCAAAGGUUCCCUCAGGCUGAUUGGAAACCAGCCGUAGAGUGUAAAAGCACAAGGGAGCUUGACUGCAACUCAUACGAGAGGAGCAGGUACGAAAGUAGGCUUUAGUGAUCCGGUGGUUCUGAAUGGAAGGGCCAUCGCUCAACGGAUAAAAGGUACUCCGGGGAUAACAGGCUUAUCACGCCCAAGAGUUCACAUCGACGGCGUGGUUUGGCACCUCGAUGUCGGCUCAUCGCAUCCUGGGGCUGUAGUAGGUCCCAAGGGUUUGGCUGUUCGCCAAUUAAAGCGGUACGCGAGCUGGGUUCAAAACGUCGUGAGUCAGUUUUGUCCCUAUCUUCCGUGGGCGCAGAGUCUUGAAGUGGAUCUGUCCCUAGUACGAGAGGACCGGGAUGGACGAACCCCUGGUGUUCCGGUUGUUUUGCCAGAGGCAUUUCCGGGUAGCUAUGUUCGGAACGGAUAACCGCUGAAAGCAUCUAAGCGGGAAGCCAACCACAAGAUGAGGACUCCCUGAAGGCCCGUUGUAGACUACGACGUUGAUAGGCUGGGUGUGGAAGUGCGGCAACGCAUGGAGCUAACCAGUACUAAUCGGCCGUUUGGCUUGAGC
rnacentral:rRNA from 1 species